rnacentral:rRNA from 2 species
GACUCCUACGGGAGGCAGCAGUAAGGAAUAUUGGUCAAUGGACGCAAGUCUGAACCAGCCAUGCCGCGUGGAGGAUUAAGGCCCUCUGGGUUGUAAACUCCUUUUAUCUGGGAAGAAAUCCACAUAUUCUUAUGUGGUUGACGGUACCAGAGGAAUAAGCACCGGCUAGCUCCGUGCCAGCAGCCGCGGUAAUACGGAGGGUGCAAGCGUU